rnacentral:rRNA from 1 species
GCUCAGGAUGAACGCUGGCGGCGUGCCUAAUACAUGCAAGUCGAGCGAACAGAUAAGGAGCUUGCUCCUUUGACGUUAGCGGCGGACGGGUGAGUAACACGUGGGUAACCUACCUAUAAGACUGGGAUAACUUCGGGAAACCGGAGCUAAUACCGGAUAAUAUUUCGAACCGCAUGGUUCGAUAGUGAAAGAUGGUUUUGCUAUCACUUAUAGAUGGACCCGCGCCGUAUUAGCUAGUUGGUAAGGUAACGGCUUACCAAGGCGACGAUACGUAGCCGACCUGAGAGGGUGAUCGGCCACACUGGAACUGAGACACGGUCCAGACUCCUACGGGAGGCAGCAGUAGGGAAUCUUCCGCAAUGGGCGAAAGCCUGACGGAGCAACGCCGCGUGAGUGAUGAAGGUCUUCGGAUCGUAAAACUCUGUUAUUAGGGAAGAACAUACGUGUAAGUAACUGUGCACGUCUUGACGGUACCUAAUCAGAAAGCCACGGCUAACUACGUGCCAGCAGCCGCGGUAAUACGUAGGUGGCAAGCGUUAUCCGGAAUUAUUGGGCGUAAAGCGCGCGUAGGCGGUUUUUUAAGUCUGAUGUGAAAGCCCACGGCUCAACCGUGGAGGGUCAUUGGAAACUGGAAAACUUGAGUGCAGAAGAGGAAAGUGGAAUUCCAUGUGUAGCGGUGAAAUGCGCAGAGAUAUGGAGGAACACCAGUGGCGAAGGCGACUUUCUGGUCUGCAACUGACGCUGAUGUGCGAAAGCGUGGGGAUCAAACAGGAUUAGAUACCCUGGUAGUCCACGCCGUAAACGAUGAGUGCUAAGUGUUAGGGGGUUUCCGCCCCUUAGUGCUGCAGCUAACGCAUUAAGCACUCCGCCUGGGGAGUACGACCGCAAGGUUGAAACUCAAAGGAAUUGACGGGGACCCGCACAAGCGGUGGAGCAUGUGGUUUAAUUCGAAGCAACGCGAAGAACCUUACCAAAUCUUGACAUCCUUUGACAACUCUAGAGAUAGAGCUUUCCCCUUCGGGGGACAAAGUGACAGGUGGUGCAUGGUUGUCGUCAGCUCGUGUCGUGAGAUGUUGGGUUAAGUCCCGCAACGAGCGCAACCCUUAAGCUUAGUUGCCAUCAUUAAGUUGGGCACUCUAAGUUGACUGCCGGUGACAAACCGGAGGAAGGUGGGGAUGACGUCAAAUCAUCAUGCCCCUUAUGAUUUGGGCUACACACGUGCUACAAUGGACAAUACAAAGGGCAGCGAAACCGCGAGGUCAAGCAAAUCCCAUAAAGUUGUUCUCAGUUCGGAUUGUAGUCUGCAACUCGACUACAUGAAGCUGGAAUCGCUAGUAAUCGUAGAUCAGCAUGCUACGGUGAAUACGUUCCCGGGUCUUGUACACACCGCCCGUCACACCACGAGAGUUUGUAACACCCGAAAGCCGGUGGAGUAACCAUUUUGGAGCUAGCCGUCGAAAGGUGGGACAAAUGAUUGGGGGUGAAGUCGUAACAAGGUACCCGUAUCGGAAAGGUGCGGCUGGAUCACCCUCCCUUUCUAAA